UUUCCGUAGGUGAACCUGCGGAAGGAUCAUUAUUGAAUAAAUCUGACAUGGUUGUAGCUGGCUCUCCUGGAGCAUGUGCACGCCUGUCACCUUUAUCUUUCCACCUGUGCACACACUGUAGUCCUGGAUACCUCUUGCUGCAAGGCGGAUGCGGAGUCUGCUGUGCUUUCGAAAGAAGGCCGGCUUUCACUGAAUUUCCAGGCCUAUGACUUUAUACACCCCAAAUGAAUGUUAUAGAAUGUCAUCAUUGGGCCUUGUGCCUAUAAACCUAUACAACUUUCAGCUACGGAUCUCUUGGCUCUCCCAUCGAUGAAGAACGCAGC
rnacentral:misc_RNA from 1 species